rnacentral:rRNA from 1 species
UACGAAGGGGGCUAGCGUUGUUCGGAUUUACUGGGCGUAAAGCGCGUGUAGGCGGGUCGUUAAGUUGGGGGUGAAAUCCCGAGGCUCAACCUCGGAACUGCCUUCAAAACUGGCGACCUGGAGCAAGAUAGAGGCAAGUGGAAUUGCGAGUGUAGAGGUGAAAUUCGUAGAUAUUCGCAGGAACAACAGUGGCGAAGGCGACUUGCUGGAUCUUUGCUGACGCUUAGACGCGAAAGCGUGGGGAGCAAACAGG